rnacentral:rRNA from 1 species
UACGGCUCAGUAACACGUGGAUAACUGCCCUAAGGAAGGGGAUAACCUCGGGAAACUGAGGAUAAUACCCUAUAGGAUACCGAUGCUGGAAUGCCCGGUAUCCCAAAGCUCCGGCGCCUUAGGAUGGAUCUGCGGCCGAUUAGGUCGUUGUUGGGGUAACGGCCCAACAAGCCGAUAAUCGGUACGGGUUGUGGGAGCAAGAGCCCGGAGUUGGAUUCUGAGACACGAAUCCAGGCCCUACGGGGCGCAGCAGGCGCGAAAACUUUACAAUGCGGGCAACCGUGAUAAGGGAACCUCGAGUGCCUGUACAUGCAGGCUGUCUGGGUGUCUAAAACACACCCAAAGAAAGGGCCGGGCAAGACCGGUGCCAGCCGCCGCGGUAAUACCGGCGGCUCGAGUGGUGGCCACUUUUAUUGGGCUUAAAGCGUUCGUAGCUGGGUUGUUAAGUCUCUUGGGAAAUCUGGCAGCUUAACUGUCGGGCGUCUAAGAGAUACUGGCAAUCUAGGAACCGGGAGAGGUGAGGGGUACUUCGGGGGUAGGAGUGAAAUCCUGUAAUCCUCGAGGGACCACCUGUGGCGAAGGCGCCUCACCAGAACGGCUUCGACAGUGAGGGACGAAAGCUGGGGGAGCAAACCGGAUUAGAUACCCGGGUAGUCCCAGCCGUAAACGAUGCGCGUUAGGUUUCGAUGACCACGAGUCAUCGAGGUGCCGAAGGGAAACCGUGAAACGCGCCGCCCUKGGAA